GAAACUUAAAGGAAGUUGACGGGGCCCGCACAAGCGGAGGACAUGUGGUUAAUUCGAUGAUACGCGAGGAACCUUACCUGGGCUUAAAUGUAGAGUGCAUUUUUUAGAGAUAGAAAUUCCCUUCGGGGCUUUCUGCAAGGUGCUGCAUGGUUGUCGUCAGCUCGUGCCGUGAGGUGUCGGGUUAAGUCCCAUAACGAGCGCAACCCUUAUCGUUAGUUGCCAUCUGGUAAUGCAGGGGACUCUAGCGAACUGCCACCGUAAGGUGAGAGGAAGUGGGAUGACGUCAAAUCAGCACGGCCCUUAUGUCCAGGGCUACACACGUGUUACAAUGGUCGGUACAGAGGGCAGCUACCUGGUGACAGGAUGCUAAUCUCGAAAACCGGUCUCAGUUCGGAUCGAAGUCUGCAACUCGACUUCGUGAAGCUGGAUUCGCUAGUAAUCGCGCAUCAGCUAUGGCGCGGUGAAUACGUUCCCGGGCCUU
rnacentral:rRNA from 1 species